rnacentral:lncRNA from 1 species
GGGGCCGCCACGCCGGGCUGGGGGCGGGACGGAGCGGGGCGGGGGGCGGUGCGACCGACGGGGCGGCUCGGCCCCCUCGGCCCCCUCGGCCCCCUCGGGGCCCUCGGCCUCCCCGGUAGCCCCGGUAGCCCCGGUCCCCUCGGCCCGACGGGGUCUGCACCCCCCAGGUGUCCGCACCCCCGGGGGGGCACUGCCAAAGCGGCAGCCCCCCCCCCCGGUGCGCCCGGGAUGCGGGUGAGCGCCGCGGAGCUGCGGGGCUUUGCUCCUCGCCGGGAAAUCUUUUAUCUCAUCGCGGUGCCCGCUGCUCGGGGAGGUGUUUUCGAGUGAGCCGGUGCUGGCCGAGGGAGCAGGAAUGGGUUUAGUUCAGCCAUCUUUAGGGGCACGGGUUACCCCUUCUGACCCCACUCCCGUUUCUGGGCUGCUCAAAGUUAGACCCAGCACCGUGUUAUAUCUUGUUUUCGGUGCCAAAUUCUUAACCAGUUUUAGCUAGCAUCUCAAAGGUCCUUUCCCUCCCCAACCCUGUGGAUCGUUUCUUCGCUGUUAUCCUCAGAACAAGCCCGACAUCCUUUCUCACCCAUUAGGCUGCGACUGUUCGUCCUCGCCAAGUGAAGAAAAUGACUUGGGUUUGCACUUACGCUGUCUUUCCAGGAAAAGAGGACAGAUAAAAUGCAACAACUUAGUUUACAAGCUCACCUUGUUCAACACAACUGGAGCCAGACUUUUCAGAACAGAUUGGUAUUCUUCAGUUCUCCAAGUUAAGGGCUGUUUAUUUUGAAAGGAAUGAAUGGCCAAUUAGGCUGUGAAGGCGUGCUGCAGCCUGCCAUUUCUCUUGUCAAUAACUUGGAAGAAAGAAGAGAAGCUUUUUGGAAAAAAAUCUCUGCUAAGCAGAGCGUGGUGGAGGUGGGAGGAAGAAGGUCUGCCUGGGAGCUGGCAACCCCACACCUCAAAUCACCACUGGGAAAACAGUCCAUGGAAAUGCAUACUCAUCCCGCUUCAAGUCUUACCUGUAUUUGGCAGCGGGAUGUAAGCCUCUUCAAUCAAUACCUUCUUGAUGAGAUAUCUAGUAAUUACAAGAUUAAGUUCUGCUGUGGAGAUGAAUUUGCUAAACCUUUUGAAUUGCUGCUUCUAGGACAUGCGGUCACGGAAAACAGAUUUAAUGUUUACUGCUAUGCUUCCUGUCUGCCAACAUGUAAUUGCAUCCAGAUCUCCUGGGUUCCUAUCUAGUACUCAUCCACAAACCCGCUUUCCUCAAUGGAGAAGCAAAGCUAUGCUUUGCUGAAAAAGCAGAGAUGAAGAGCUCUGUGCUGCCUUGGUCCUUCUUCCAGCUGUUCCAUCACUUCUGUAAGUCUUGAAUACUCUGCAAUAAAGCACCUUUCACAGUCAUUUCCCAGAAGAGGUGUAAUAGCUAUAACCUAUCUCUCUGAUACUAAGUUGCCUGGUGCUAAUAGAUUAUGGCCUUCAGCACUGUUGAUAUUAUUAAGAACAAUACUGUUACGCUGGAAAUGCAGUCAACUGUCAACUUUUACAUUAAUUGUUAAAGAGUUUUUAUCUUGGCAGCCCAACAGGAAACAAAUAUCUUUGAUCCAUUAAAACAUCUCAGACAUAAAAGUUGCCAAGUAAUGAUUGACAGUCCCUGUUUUCCCUUAACCUCAAAGGAAACCAAGGAAUUAGAAAAGACGUUGGUGGAAGAAAAGGGGGUACACGGUGCCAUAGGUCCUUCAUAACAAAUGUUGCCUGCUUGUAUCGGCAUAGUGCACCAGCAGUUCAUCUUUUCUCAAAGGGCACCCGAAUGCUUUCCUAUGAGUGGUUUCCACCCUGAUGGAGCUUUCUUUGGUAAGAAGGAGCAGGAGAGAAAAACUGCCACAAAGUGCACCUUGGAAGGUUGGCACUGGCCACAAGGAGGAGGAAAUGUCCCUGAAACAGUAGUGCUGUGGUGCCAUAGGUCACCCAAAGGGUAUCCAUGAUCGGACCAUUUUGUGUUUCAAGGAACAGCUAGUGAGGGACCCAAAACCGAACACAGCACUUGAGGUGUGGCCUCACCAGGUAAUUAGAGCUAGCUGUGUAUCAGGUAAUACUGUCUCCUUCUUGUCCUUGGGACACCUUGUCUGAUUAAGACACUUUGGACUGAUUAAAAAGCGGUCUUCAUGGAAAUCUUUUCAACUGGACAUGAAAGUACAAGCAUAUUCUACUUUUUGUAGCUACUGCUAUAUCUUUAGAAGAGAAAACUGUCAGUUCUCUGGGAAGACUUAAAUAUCCAUUUUUAAACAUCUCCACUACUCUUCACUCCUAGCUGCAGUACUCUGCAGGCAUUCAGUUGUGUUAAUAUAGGAGCAGUUCUAAAAGCAAUCAUAGGCAAGAAUUAUUUCAUGGAUUCAAAACCAGAAGCAGGCUACUUGUUGUUUUACUACAAUUCGAUUUCCUAAAAACUAAAACAUGAUUCUUCUCAUAUUAAACUACUGCAUAAAUUGGGCAACAUCUUUCUUCAAUAACUAACUCUUACUAUAAUGAAACAGACAUUGUUGAAAAACUGUCAGCACAUAAAGUUGCACCCAUUUCUUUUAAAAGAACAGUUUGAGGAAGAUAAAUCUAAAUGAUUUACCAGAAAUAACCUUAUUCCAAAAAGAAAAACUAAAACAAAACCAGCAAAAUACAAAGAAUUGGUUUGACCUUUUUUUUUUUUUUUUUUUUUUUUUCUUUUCUUUUAAUUCCUCAAUAUGAUUAGGCUUUAUUUCUCUGUCCACGGCCAGCAUUUCUGGAGAUGGCAUGUCCUGCCACAACAGCAAGAGCUGGAGCAAGGCUGCUAGCAACAGUGCUUUGGGAGACAGGCAGGUGGCUGAGGAGCAAGGGGGUAUUUGAGGCAAGAGAAGGUGUGGAAAUGAAGAAGAGAUGUUAACUGCAAAGCUAGGAUGAGAAUGAGGGAGAUAAGAUAUUGCUUAAAACAAUUGUGUGACUGUUAAAAGACAUUAUUUUGCUACCAAGUGAAUUAUAGAUGAGAAAUGGAGAUUAUUCAUUUGAUGCAUCUUAGAGACAGGACAUAAAGAAUUAGAAAUGCUGCUUGAGCCAUAAAGCUUUCACCAAGCAGAGAAAGAGUAAUGCUUUUAUUUUUAUUGUGCUGUCUUUGGAUGACAAACUUCUAAUUUCAUUUCCAAAAAUAAAGUUCUGAGCCAAAUAUAAAGGGACCUUAAAUCAUGUGCAUUUGCUUCUGUGACACUGUUGACUGUGCAUAAGUUAGUUUGAUACCUAUCUGUUGGAGGUUUAGAGAACACUCAGGCUUUAUGGAAGGCCAAACAAUUCCAAAAAUACAUGCAGAUAAAAUUUAUUCCUAUUAUUUAACCUUCUAUGAGGGCUGUGCUUGCUUUCUGCACCUUGUACCUGAACUUGUUCUGGUUCCUUCAGCCCACAGUCAUGAAAUGCUGCUCUGAAAAGAGUCUUAUUCCAAAACUGCAUGUCCGCUGCUCAUCCCAACUCUUCUGAGUCACACGUUUACAUCAUCCUGCUCCUUUUGGUGCAUUUCUCAGCUGUGUGUUGAGGAAAAUGCUGCUGCAACCUGCUAGUACAGCAUCAGUGAUAACAACAACUUCCAAAUUGACAACAACAAAAAAACAAACAAUGAAUUUCCUGUAUCAAAUAGGCAAAUCAUAAAGUCUGACAUAGGAAUGCCAUGCACUUCAAUUCCGUUUCAUAUUUAUUAUGACUUUGACAGCUCCUUGACUGCCUGUGGAAGUAGCUUUAAAAAUAAAUGCUAGUACAUUUUAGUUACCAGAUCACCAAGUGCUGCUAUUUUUACAGCAUUCAGAAUGAGGUAGCUGGUGAGGAAUGUAAUAAAUAGACUUAAAUCCCUCCUGUAAGCCAAUUUCAAAACUCAGAGGAGCAGUUUUACCCUCAAAGCUCAGAGCAGCCAAAAGCAUUUUACAUUCAGAUUUCCUAGGCAGGCAAUAUUACAAUGCUGUGCCCUGCACUCUUUUGAGCCAGGCUGUUGAGUUAUAUGAUUCAGAUAUGCUGAGUGAAAUAGCAAACCUGAUCUGCCAGCUACUCUCUUUCUUUUUUUUUUUCCCUCUUCCCUCCUUUACAGUUUUUCUUAAUUCUCUCCCUUUAGUAGCUUAACAGUAUAUUUAUCUAAAUUUCCAAAUUGAAGUUAGCAGAGAGAAGGAUGUAUUAAAUACCCAACCAAUGUAUAAAGGUUGCAAUACAUGAAUAAAGCACCAAAAAGAUAGAUACAUAUAUAAAGUUAUUCUGACUUAUCAGCCUUGGGAAUAAUAUUUUUGUACAUUCUAAACAAUUUAAAGGCUGUAAAAAUAUAUAUUUAUUUAUUACAAGGGUAGCUUAUAUUUGUUCAUUGUUCCUUUCACAUUGCCUUUCUCUCUCUCUCUCUCUUUUUUUUUUUUUUUUGGGGGGGGGGGGGGGGGGCCUUNNNNNNNNNNGUGGGGGGGGGGGGAGUUCCAGCAGAUGAUAACUUUAAAUAAAGCAGAAAAUUUGGUUGGCAGUUCCUAAGUGCAUUACCUUCCUCUAUGGCUUCACUGUACAACUAAGCUAAUUUCUUAAACCGUAUUUCUCAAAAUUACCUGCCUCUUCCUGCAGAAUAUUCUAAUUCUUUGUCAGAUACUGAAGCAAAUUGUUCCUUGCCAGCAGUUUUUUUUCUUUUUUGGACCCAUACCAUUGCAUAAAUAUGAAACGAAUAUUUCUAAGCUUGGCUAUAAGAAACUUCAGCAGAUCCUUUCUCCAGCCCCCAAAUUACUCUUUAGCAGCCUGUUAACAUUUACUGUUUAAGUAGAUCCUCUCAAAUAACUAGUCUCAUGCUGAGCUUCUUCUUCUAUACCUUAACUAAUAAAUUGUCAUGAAGCCCUUGACUGAACACAUAAAGAUGAAUCUUCUGCCUCAUGUUUAAGAAAAACAACAACAACAACAACAACAACAAAACACACACAAACAAACAAACAAACAAACGCCCAGAUAAAAUCAAACAAAACCUGGAAGUACUGAGCUGUACUUGUUCAGCUGUACUUAAUGUUUUGCUAACAAAACCUAAUGAGUGCUUAGCUUAGCCUCAAAAAUAAAAGUGAAUACAUUAUUGGUCAGAACCUGAAGAAAGAAAUUAUUGUUGAUAAUAAUUAUCAUACUUGGCACUUUUCUUCUUCAGAAAAUGCUUUAUCAACAUUAACAAAUUAAUGAAAAUGCAGAGGUAUUUCAUGCCCUGUGGAUCUCAU